rnacentral:snRNA from 1 species
AUCGCUUCUCGGCCUUUUGGCUAAGAUCAAGUGUAGUAUGUAUAGAAUAAAUUUAGUCAAAGACCAAAUAAAUUAUUUGUGCCAAGGCCAAAAUGCGUGGCUAUAAUAAAGAAGAUUGGCUACAACUGUUAAUCUUAUCUAGACCUUCA